AUCCCUGCAAGGACAUCCAAUAAAAUUAGAACAAUACAGACAAGAUUCUCGUGGCCCAUGUGCAAGGAUAACUAAAUUGAGGAGAAAAAUAAGUGAACUAUAU